rnacentral:rRNA from 1 species
AAGGAAUAUUGGUCAAUGGACGCAAGUCUGAACCAGCCAUGCCGCGUGGAGGAUGAAGGCCCUCUGGGUUGUAAACUUCUUUUAUCUGGGAAGAAACCCAUCUUUUCUAAGGUGGUUGACGGUACCAGAUGAAUAAGCACCGGCUAACUCCGUGCCAGCAGCCGCGGUAAUACGGAGGGUGCAAGCGUUAUCCGGAUUCACUGGGUUUAAAGGGUGCGUAGGUGGGCAGGUAAGUCAGUGGUGAAAUCUCUGGGCUUAACCCAGAAACUGCCGUUGAUACUAUCUGUCUUGAAUAUAGUGGAGGUGAGCGGAAUAUGUCAUGUAGCGGUGAAAUGCUUAGAUAUGACAUAGAACACCCAUUGCGAAGGCAGCUCGCUACACUAUUAUUGACACUGAGGCACGAAAGCGUGGGGAUCAAACA